AAAAGAUCUUUAAUUUGACCAUUAAUGACAUGAGAUUUGUAUAAAAUUUAAAAAAAAGGAAAAGAGUGGACAUCCUAUUAGAAAAAAAUGGUAAAUGGGAUGUACAAACAAUGAUUACAGUUAAAUAAUAUGGUCCCGAAGAAUCACAUUCUCUCCCUUCACAGACGCGAACAACCUGAUGGUGAUACAUUGGCAGAUUGGUGACUCUCUCCAAAUACCAAAAUCAGCAACGGCCCAGGCAAAUCUGCAUCUUAUUCAGCCAAAGCUUCUCAAUUUCAUUAAUAAACCAGGACAAAUUAAUAUCAACUGUCAUCAACGUAAUCUGCUAUUGACUAAUAUUUCCAAUACCAAAUCAUUCCAAGAGUCUAUCGGCCCCGGCAAGCACCAAUGUAAGCAAUCAUUCUGAACUUUGGCAUUCUUAUCCUUCGAAAAUGGCUGAAACUGCCUGUACGGUCCAGGAUGCCCAUCCGGCCUUAACAAAGAUAGACGAGUUGUAUCAAGCAGUUUCAAAGUCACCCCCUUUUCAGAUCCCAAUGCAGCAGCCUUGUCAAAUUCUUCCAGUUCGAUAUUACGCAUUGUUUCAUCUACAUCUCUCAUAUCAAUCUCGCCUUCUUUGAAGGGCACUUUUCUUUUGCAAGUGCCUCCACUAAACCAUUCUCCAUUCUCAAAGUGAUCUGGAGUGGUGGUUCUAAAGAAAAUAAAAGCUCUGUGAUCAGAUCUUGCAAUGAAGUCAAAUAUCAACCGUAGUACUUUUCUGUAUGCAUAGUCAAAUCCUAGCUCUGUCAAGUUCUUUCCAGGGCAGUAAUGGCAGCCUGUAACACUGUUGUUCUCAAGAUAUAUUGCAGUUUUGAGAAACCAUUUGCCACCAGCAAUUACAGCAUAAUCAAAGUUCCUAUAUUGAUCAAUCCAUUUAUUAUCAAGUACAUCUAGAUGAAGCUGGAUUUCUGAAGACGAAACUCCAUUCAUAUCUUCAAAUAUAUCUGCCUUUGUGAGGAAUGGAGUCCAAAUGACUGAAAGAGUGAAGUUGUGACCUGGAAAGUGCCAUAUUUUCGAUCUAUAUUCCUCGUCAUGAUACACCUCAUCAGCUUGUUCCACCUAUGGGACAUAAUAACUAAAACAACCGAUCAAUUGCUGUCCAAGGGACCACAUUUUUGUAAAUAUUGUGACAUUCUGAUAGGUCACAAAGCAUCCACAGAAUUUCAUUGAAUAUGCAAGCAAUGGGUGCCACUCUGGGGCCUAAGACGUUUACUUAUUCCUUGCUCAGCUUAUCAGGUUGCUGCUUGGGACCCAAAUCUUGUCUUUUUUCAAUAAUUUAAGUGGAAUCAUUUCUCCAAAAACAAUAUAUUAUUUUAUAGAAACUUGGAGUUACAGAUCCGUAUAAUAGCUCAAGUAGUAAAAUUUACCACUUAACAUUGAUACAAAUAAUUACACGUAGUAGCCAACAAGGAUUAUAUAUAAAGUUCCUGAGAAGACAUAAAGAUAAAAAUGAGCAUUAAAAUCUCUUUGGUUUCUGGUAGGUACACCAGCUUGGAAAGAGACACGAGAACCUCCUAGAAGCAGUAAACUAACCAGCUGUAUUCCACAACUAAAUCAAGGUUGAUGGUUGAUUAAGAAUCUCUAUAUGAUAGCAUAUUGAAAAAGGAAUCUGAAUUUAAAUGGAGAAAUUCAUUGCAAAAGCUAUUCAAAAUCUAUCCCCACUUUUAGCCAAUAAACCUCAAAGGAGUAAUCAGAACCUUCACCAGCAUCCUUGGAGAAGUUUAUGUAGAACUAAUGUUGAGAGCUUAAGAUCUCUAAGAGCUCUUAAAAAGAGCAAGUUUCUUAAUCAUGAGAUGGCACAGAAAUCUCCAACUCCCCACUACAUCAGUUCAGAGCAUAAAGAAGCCGAUUUUGUUUUCACAGGGAAAGAUGGCUAAAUUAAACCUUUUUUUUUUUUCUUUUCAAACGAAACUUGGCUUCUACUCAAAAUCCAGUCUUUAGACUUUUUUUCCUUUGUUCAUUUGACUCCAACCAAGACUCUAAUUCAAGAUUUUAUAAUCCUAGAGACAACUUCAGUAACGUUGAGCUAGUGCAUUAGUGAAAACAAUCUUUAGAUUUUAGAGUAUUCAAAUAGCACAAUGCACUGAUUGAUGAUUGCAGGAAAUCAGUACACCUAACCAAUGAAAUUUUGGAAACGAAAAACCAUUAAAGCAAGCGUUUGAAUUUUUGGCAUAGAUUUUAAAAUUCAAAGGGGCUAAGCAUAUAGGAAGUUUCUUUAAACUUGGGAGCUUUACCUGAGAGAGAAUGCAAAGUAACGACUGCACGUGGUUACGCGAAAUGGAAUCACCAAUAAAGGCCCAGGAUUUGUCCCUCAUCAAAUCAAGAAAUUUCUUUGGAUUGAACAUGGGUAGAUCACACCCCUGUGGAUUCCACCUCCAGUAGAGGUACCCUGAAUCAGCCCGUCCAUUUUUCAUGCAGUUUUGAUGACCUUCGAUUGCCAGGCAACUCCGAUUAUCGUAUAAUGGACCUGAAGGGUCCGGUAUCCAAUGUCCAGUAAAUAAGUCACAUUCUCCAGUCUCUGAAAUUUGUGUUGUAUUAGCCGCAGAAUCAUUAGAAACUGCUGUUUGAUUUUCAUUUGCCGCAAAAUCAAUAGCACCCGGCUCUUCCUCUUCAAUAGGCAGAGUAUUAGCCUCUGGAGACUCUGUUUUAGUCAUCUGUUCAAUGGAUGGUGUCUCUACAACUGAUGAGAAUCUGAUUGAAUCAGAGACUAACAGACGAAAAGCAAGACCUAUCAAAAGAAAUGAGACUGCAAACUUUACAAAGACAUGAUUGUGUUUAGUUAAGGAAAAUGGGUUGGAAUCAGACCACAUUUCCUUCACCAUAUGGUAUGAGACGGAGAAAGAAAGACUCUUGAUGUGAAGAGAGAGAGAGAGAGAGAGA
rnacentral:misc_RNA from 1 species